rnacentral:rRNA from 1 species
UACGGGGGGAGCAAGCGUUGUUCGGAUUUACUGGGCGUAAAGGGCGCGUAGGCGGCCAGCACAAGUCAGUUGUGAAAUCUCCGAGCUUAACUCGGAAAGGUCAACUGAUACUGUGCGGCUAGAGUGCGGAAGGGGCAACUGGAAUUCUUGGUGUGAGCGGUGAAAUGCGUAGAUAUCAAGAGGAACACCAAUGGCGAAGGCAGCUCGCUGGGACGGUACUGACGCUGAGACGCGAAAGCGUGGGGAGCAAACAGG